CCCCCAGUUAAUUAAUAACACAAAUACACAGAUCUUUCUGCAUUAGUUGAAAACCCUAGCGCCUACCGCUACCAUCUUCACAUCAGCUCUAACCAUCUUCUCCUUUUCCAACUACGUCACUGUCGGCUACCUCUUCGGAAUUAAGCCCGAGAUCAAAGGCUCAUCGAUGGUCACCGGAGGCUUGAUCGGAGUUAUGCGUACGAGAACUCUACUGGACGUUUGAUGGGAACUAUGGAAGUUCCACCUUUGAUUUUCAAGAACUUCUGGCAUGUCCGGUUUAUGCAGUCUGGGUCAUUCCCAGAUCAACUUGGUGUCCAAAGAGAGGAUGCGUAAACGAACCACACUGAUGAAGUUUAUGAAGGAGAUAGCUUAUGAUGGAGUUGAAAUACUUGACAAUGAUAAUGCUGGGAAAGGAGUAGAGGAAUACUCGGCUGCGGAUAUGGAUGGCAU
rnacentral:lncRNA from 1 species